UACAGAGGUGGCAAGCGUUGUUCGGAUUUACUGGGCGUAAAGGGUGCGUAGGCGGCUCCGCAUGUCGGAUGUGAAAUCCCACGGAUUAUCCGUGGAACGGCAUUCGAAACUGCGGGGCUAGAGUGCGGGAGAGGAAGGUGGAAUUCUCGGUGUAGCGGUGAAAUGCGUUGAUAUCGAGAGGAACGCCGGUGGUGAAGACGACCUUCUGGAACGCAACUGACGCUGAGGCACGAAAGCUAGGGGAGCAAACAGG
rnacentral:rRNA from 1 species